AGCGCUGCGGCCAACGUCACCCUCGUCAUCCCCGCGACCCUGCAGACUGCAGACCCUAACUGGACCCUGUAUGUGCUGCUGUCGCUGGUGGUGGCGGAGGGGGCGGCGCUCCUGUGCUUCCUUUGCGUCCUGCUGCGCCGGGGGCUGCUGACGGCCGAGUGUUUAUUCUCAUACGUCAGGGGGGGCAAGCGCCCCCCGGAGGAGCCCUUCGUGAUACUCCCCCAAAAU